rnacentral:rRNA from 1 species
UGGGGAAUAUUGCACAAUGGGCGCAAGCCUGAUGCAGCCAUGCCGCGUGUGUGAAGAAGGCCUUCGGGUUGUAAAGCACUUUCAGCGGGGAGGAAGGCGGUGAGGUUAAUAACCUCAUCGAUUGACGUUACCCGCAGAAGAAGCACCGGCUAACUCCGUGCCAGCAGCCGCGGUAAUACGGAGGGUGCAAGCGUUAAUCGGAAUUACUGGGCGUAAAGCGCACGCAGGCUGUCUGUCAAGUCUGAUGUGAAAUCCCCGGGCUCAACCUGGGAACUGCAUUCGAAACUGGCAGGCUAGAGUCUUGUAGAGGGGGGUAGAAUUCCAGGUGUAGCGGUGAAAUGCGUAGAGAUCUGGAGGAAUACCGGUGGCGAAGGCGGCCCCCUGGACAAAGACUGACGCUCAGGUGCGAAAGCGUGGGGAGCAAACAGG